rnacentral:rRNA from 1 species
ACGAACGCUGGCGGCGUGCUUAACACAUGCAAGUCGAACGAUGACGACCGAGCUUGCUCGGUCUGAUUAGUGGCGAACGGGUGAGUAACACGUGAGCAACCUGCCCUUCACUCUGGGAUAACCUCGGGAAAUCGGGGCUAAUACCGGAUAUGAGCUCCUGUCGCAUGGCGGGUGUUGGAAAGUUUUUCGGUGAAGGAUGGGCUCGCGGCCUAUCAGUUUGUUGGUGAGGUAGUGGCUCACCAAGGCGAUGACGGGUAGCCGGCCUGAGAGGGCGACGGGCCCCAUUGGCCUGCGGCAGCGACCAGUGUGCAACGGGGGGCAACGGGGGGGAAUCUUUCCCAAUGGGACCACGCCUGAUGGGAGGGCCUCCGGGUGGGGAAGACCGUCUUUGGGGUGUAAACCUCUUUCAGCAGGGAAGAAGCGAAAGUGACGGUACCUGCAGAAGAAGCGCCGGCUAACUACGUG